UAGAGAGGGGGCGAGCGUUGUCCGGAGUCACUGGGCGUAAAGCGCGCGCAUGCGGCAACCUUAGUGUCGUGUGAAAGCCCCCUGCUCAACCGGGGGAGGCCAUGGCAAACUGGGUCGCUCGAGCUGCGGAGAGGCCCCUCGAAUUGCCGGUGUAGCGGUGAAAUGCGUAGAGAUCGGCAGGAAGACCAAUGGGGAAGCCAGGGUGCUGGCCGCAGGCUGACGCUGAGGCGCGACAGCGUGGGGAGCAAACCGG
rnacentral:rRNA from 1 species